GACGAACGCUGGCGGCGUGCUUAACACAUGCAAGUCGAACGGACAGGCCCUGCUUUUGUGGGGUGCUCGAGUGGCGAACGGGUGAGUAACACGUGAGUAACCUGCCCUUGACUUUGGGAUAACUUCAGGGAACUGGGGCUAAUACCGGAUAGGAGCUCCUGCUGCAUGGUGGGGGUUGGAAAGUUUCGGCGGUUGGGGAUGGACUCGCGGCUUAUCAGCUUGUUGGUGGGGUAGUGGCUUACGAAGGCUUUGACGGGUAGCCGGCCUGAGAGGGUGACCGGCCACAUGGGGACUGAGAUACGGCCCAGACGCCUACGGGAGGCAGCAGUGGAGAAUAUUGCACAAUGGGCGGAAGCCUGAUGCAGCAACGCCGCGUGCGUGAUGACGGCCUUCGGGUUGUAAACCGCUUUCGCCUGUGACGAAGCGUGAGUGACGGUAAUGGGUAAAGAAGCACCGGCUAACUACGUG
rnacentral:rRNA from 1 species